AUGCCUGUGAUGGAGAAGCUGAAGAUGUUCAUUGUUCAAGAACCAGUUGUCGCUGCUUCAUGUGCCAUCGCCGGUUUUGGUAUCUCUCUAAACCCUAAUCUUAACCUUCCUCUUGUCAAUAAUUUCAUAUAUAAUACUCGUUUACUGCUAAAAUUAGGGUUAAGUGUUGAUUUAUUUACCUUCCCAUUACACAAUUGGGGUUUUCCGAUUACUGGCUGCAAUUCGAUGUGCCAAAAAUGA